UUUUUUUUUUUUUUUGCAUGAUCAUGAAAAUUUGGUACUGGAUAAUAUAGGUAGCUUCUGUGUGGAAACAUAUGACUGAUCUUGAAAAUGAUAAUAAUUGUAAGAACAUGAUACAUUUUUAACAUUUGUGUUUAAAAAGUUAUCCUAUAUUGAUCAAUUGUAUCUUCAUGGAUUAUAUUUUCUUAUCAAAAAUAUUUCUAUAGUGUUCAUAUUUAGAGUUCUUUCUACUUCUAAAGAUAAUUCUGCUCUCAAAUUGCCAUAUAUAUAUAAAUUAUCACAGAGAAGCUUCCUUGUAAAAGUAAAAUGAAACCAAAUAUGGUAUUUGUCAUCCUUUGUUUCUCUCAUUACUUUUGAAGUUAUGGUUUGAACUUUUAGCCAAUUUCUCUUCUGAUUGUUAUUUAACCUGCUUCCUGUCACAUAGCUGAUAUGCAAUAUGUUAAGCACACCACUGACUAUGUUUUUCCAUCAUCUCACUUCUCUUUUUAGAGAGCUAUGAAGAAGGUGUUAUGAUCUCUCCUUUUGACAGUUUAGGAAACUGAGGCCCACUGAGAUAAGCAGUUUGCCAAACUGCAUAGCAACUCUCUGAAUAGGUCUCUCUAACUAUACAACCCAUGAAAACUUAUUAUAUUUUUUGUCCCAGAGAAAUUACAUGAGGCAAAAAUACAGGAACAUACAGGUUUACCCUAGAAGGCAAAGAACCAGGAUUUUAAAACCAAUUGGUCAUGAUUUAAGAAAUAGAAUGAUCACAAUGUAUUUUAAAAAAACCUUUCUACCAGACACCAUUAAAAGAAAAAGUGAAUAAGGAAAAACAAAAAAUUACAUAUUUUUUUCCCUUGCUGUACUGCAGCAAAAGUGGAAAGAAAUAAGACCACGAGGUCAAAUUUGAGUUACAGGCAGGUGACCUAAAUGUCAGGCCUGUUAAGAUAGCCCUGGCCUAGAUCAAAAAAAGGAGGCAGCAGACAGGCUGAUUUGGUUUUCAUAUUUCAUAUUUUCCCAUUACAUAAUAAAAUUCCCUGAUGCAAGAGCAUUUAAGAGAUUGAAAGAAAGGCUUCAUGACUGUUUGGGGUAAUUUAAUGCUGAAAUUUAUUCCUUAGAGAACUUAUGAAUCAAUAGAAUAUCAAAGACUUGCACAGGUGUGCACAAAGAAAGCUUUCAUGUCAACUAUUUUUGCAUCCUUUUUAUUUCAUAGCAUCAAGGUCCACUUUGAAGCCUCUUUCCAGGAAUCAGGACCACAAUUUGUAUUUGGCAUCAAAUGGAGAUUUUUUUUUCCUUAUUUGCAGUUAGUAAUUCUCUAGUUUGUAGAACAUGGAAAAGAAAUCUUGCUGCCUUUUGCACCAGUUUUGAACAGAGCAAAUGCUGCUGUGAUUUAAAUCUCUUGUGUUCAAAUCUUUUGAAACCAUAAAAAUGAUAACAAUAAAGGUAUAUAUGAAUAGAAAUGUGCAAAGAAGAAUUCAAUAGAAGAUGCAAACUCAAUCCAAGAAAAUAUCUUUAAGCCCAUGCUAAAAACUAGCUUAUAUAUCUUUCCAUAUUUUUGAUGAAACUGAACCUCUGUGGACAAACGUGCUUCCUGAUUUUACUAAAAAUCCCAUUACUUGAUACCAAAUAUAUUAUGCACAUAUGGAUUCUCUCUAGUGAAAUCUGUAAGGAAAUUUUAUUGAAAUAUAAAGAGAGGUAUGGAAUAAAUAUUUUGCAAGCACAAUAUAGGGUUUGAGGUCCAAAAGGAAGUCAAAAUAUCACUUUGCUUUGUCAUUUGAUUCUUGGGAGUAAUUCUUUACUCUUUGAUAAUGACAAAAUUGGCUUAGUGCUUCCAGCUAGAUUUUUCUGUUUUCCUUCGGUAUUCUUCACUUUAAAAGAGUCAUUUACCUUGUACCAUGGACACUAGAUCUCUAAACCUAAGCACCACAUCCUAAGGUAAGAUUCCUGAAUAUUCCCUUCUUUCUCUCUCUCCUUCCUCCCUUGCUCCAUUCCUCCUCCCCUCCCUUUCUCUCUCUCUUUCUCCCCUCAGAAAAUCUUUCCCUCCCUCCCUCAUGCCUUUUCCCCCAAGGGCUGAUUUCUGGAGUGAGAAUUGCUGUGUUACAUCUGCCCCCUCCAGGGUACUGGCUGUAAAAUUCCUUCAUCUAUGAAAGUCAUUGGGAAUCUUCUACUCAAUCAAGUGGUGGAGGAACUGCUUUACACUCCAGGAGGUGGCAGCAUGCUGCUGGGAGGGCCAAGGGAGUGAGGACAAGAUGAAAACAUCCACCUUGCAAAAAGCUCCUUCACUUUACCUCUCCCUGUCUGACACGCACUCCUGGGUACCAAAAAUGGCUGGGCUGCAUCAGUGAUGCCAGUAUCUAUAGUGCUUGAAACCUGUUUUAAGAGAGGACCAGAGGCAGCUCUGUGGGCAGAGGAGAGGAGGGGAGAUGGCAUUGCAGCUGUCCUUGUCUAAUAACCUAGAAGUUGGAACUGGCCUUAAGAGGACCGUCCACCCCAACGCAUUUGGAGCAGAUCCAAUAGAAAUGCAGGAAUCUAAUGUUUGUGGCUAAGAACAUUGAUUCAACAGCUCAAAAAG
rnacentral:lncRNA from 1 species